UAAGGAAUAUUGGACAAUGGGGGCAACCCUGAUCCAGCCAUGCCGCGUGAAGGAUGACGGCCCUCUGGGUUGUAAACUUCUUUUGUACGGGAAUAAACCCCUCUACGUGUAGAGGGUUGAAUGUACCGUAAGAAUAAGGAUCGGCUAACUUCGUGCCAGCAGCCGCGGUAAUACGAAGGAUCCAAGCGUUAUCCGGAUUUAUUGGGUUUAAAGGGUGCGUAGGCGGGCUAUUAAGUCAGUGGUGAAAGCCCCAAGCUUAACUUGGGAAUUGCCAUUGAUACUGAUGGUCUUGAGUACACUUGAGGUGGGCGGAAUGUGUCAUGUAGCGGUGAAAUGCUUAGAUAUGACACAGAACACCGAUUGCGAAGGCAGCUCACUAAAUUGUAACUGACGCUGAGGCACGAAAGCGUGGGGAUCAAACAG
rnacentral:rRNA from 1 species